GCUUUGCACAAGGACAAUCAACUUCCAACUUCCAACAGCUUUGCACAAGGACAAUCAACUUCCAACUUCCAACACACAACUUUUUUAAUAAUGUUGUAUGUUGAUUGUUGUUUGUUGGUAGUUCUUGUGCAGAGCGCAAGCAGGCAACCCGGUGAAGUGAAACAUCUCAGUAACCGGAGGAACAGAAAUCACAGAGAUUCCGUCAGUAGCGGCGANNNNNNNNNNNNNNNNNNNNNNNNNNNNNNNNNNNNNNNNNNNNNNNNNNNNNNNNNNNNNNNNNNNNNNNNNNNNNNNNNNNNNNNNNNNNNNNNNNNNNNNNUGAUCGACCAAAGAACGUGAAAGUCGUGUAUGCGAAACUAAUGGACAGCCCAGAUAGUACCCAAGUACCACGGGACACGUGAAACCCUGUGGGAAUCUGGGGCGACCACGCUCCAAGGCUAAAUACCUGAUAUCACCGAUAGUGAACAAGUACCGUGAGGGAAAGGUGAAAAGACCCCCGGGAGGGGUGUGAAAUAGUACCUGAAACCGUUGGCUAACAAACAGACAGAGCCCGCUUGAGCGCGCAAGCGCUUGCGCGAGUGAUGUCGUGCCUAUUGAAGAAUGAGCCGGUGAGUUUUCGUACAUUGCGUUUAGGUUAAGGCACUCUGUGCCGGAGCCGUAGCGAAAGCGAGUCUGAAUAGGGCGUUCUCCGCCUUUGGCGGAGAGAGUAGUGUACGGAAGACCCGAAACCAGGUGAGCUAACCUUGGACAGGGUGAACCCCGCAGGAAUGUGGGGGGAGGCCCGAACCCGUUGAAGUUACAAAUUCAUGGGAUGAUCUGAGGUUAGAGGUAAUAUGCCAAUCGAACCUGGUGAUAGCUGGUUCUCCCCGAAAUAUAUAUAGGUAUAGGGGUUCAUGAUGGCGUUGGGGGGUAGAGCACUGACUGGUCGCAGGGAAAGUAAUUUUCUUGUUGCCAAACAAACUCCGAAUACCCAACGAUACUAGUGGACCACUCAGACGGGCCGGGCUAAGCUGGUUUCGUCGAGAGGGAAACAGCCCAGACCAUCGACUAAGGUCCCCAAGUACCAAUUAAGUGCAAAGGAGGUGGAUUUCUUAAGACACCCAGGAGGUUGGCUUAGAAGCAGCCAUCCUUUAAAGAUAGCGUAACAGCUCACUGGAAUAAGAAGUCUGCGCCUAAAAUGAACGGGACUCAAAUUGGUCACCGAAGUCAUGGAUGCUUGUCCUUUGGACAAGGAAAUUCCAAAUACCAAAUUCCAAAUCACAAACAAAACACAAUUUUGUUUGGAAUUUGAAAUUUGAACAUUGAGAUUUCCUCGUCCAGAGGACGAGUGUGGUAGGGGAGCAUUUGUGUUGCAUUGAAGCAGUGCUGUAAGGCACUGUGGAGCGGCACGAAGCGAGAAUGCCGGCAUGAGUAGCGAAAAUCCGGUGAGAAUCCGGAUCGCCGAAUGCCUAAGGUUUCCCACGCAACGUUCGUCGACGUGGGGUUAGUCGGAUCUAAGGGAUGCCACACUAUGGUUAUCCCGAUGUACAAUCGGUUGAUAUUCCGAUACUGAUAAAAAAUCGUUACGAGCUUUCAGGCGUGACGGAAAUGGAUGCAGUUAGCGUACGUUACGAGAGUCACGUUUAAGCAACAAAGCAGUUUGUGCAGGAAAAUCCGCACGGACGUUUUUACCUGAGUUGCGAAUAAAAUCUGCUGUCAUGGCAGAAAUUAACUUUCCAUUCAAUUCCCGAGAAAAGCGUCGAAGCCAGAUUUUUUAUCACCCGUACCGCAAACCGACACAGGUAGGUGAGAUGAGUAUUCUCAGGCGAGNNNNNNNNNNNNNNNNNNNNNNNNNNNNNNNNNNNNNNGGCGUAAGCUAUGCGAGAUGCCCUGCCUUUGUGCGAAGCACAAAGGCAACAACCAACAGCUAACAGCCAACAACCAGCAUAAUUACAUUUUUGUAGUUAGUUGUGUGUUGUUUGUUGGAAGUUGUCUUGUUGCCUACGUGCUUUGCACGAAGGCCACAGCGAAAGAUUGUUUCCCGACUGUUUAACUAAAACACAGGUCUCUGCAAACCCGAAAGGGGAAGUAUAGGGGCUGAGGCCUGCCCAGUGCCGGAAGGUCAAAUAAUUCUUGUGCUUCGCACUUGUGCGGAGUGCGGGGGUUAUAAGCCCCGGUAAACGGCAGCAGUAACUAUAACUGUUCUACGGUAGCGAAGUUCCUUGUCUGGUAAGUUCAGACGCGCACGAAAGGCAUAACGAGGAAACAACUGUCUCCAGAGCCGACCUGGCGAAAUUGAAAUGGCUGUGAAGAUGCGGCCUAGUUGCACAAGGACAAAAAGACCCCGGGAGCUUUACUGUAGCUUGACAUUGGGAAUAGGUUUUCGAUUGUCUAGAAUAGGUGGGAGUUCUGACGUAAGUCAGGACGACAGUGAAAUACCACUCUUUGAAACCCUGGACUCUCAUCCGCGGAAAAACCGUGGAGACAGUGUUUGGUGGGCAGUUUGGUUGGGGUGAUCGCCACCUAAAGAGUAACGGUGGCGUACAAAGGUCAGCUAACCUCGGAUGGAAAUCGAGGCUUGUCGUGUAAAGGCUUAAGCUGGCUUGAUUGUGAGACGGACAUGUCGAACAGGGUCGAAAGACGGUCUUAGUGAUCCUCCGGUACCUCGUGGUAGGGCCGGAGCUUAUCGGCAAUAAGCUACCCCGGGGAUAACAGGCUAGUCUCCCCCAAGCGUCCAUAGCGACGGGGAGGUUCGGCACCUCGAUAAAGAUCGAACACAUGUCGAGGUGAUAAAGCGACUCAUAACGGAGAAAGCCAUAUGUCUAACCCAGUAUAUAUGGUCAACACCGUGGGAACGAUUCAUUCUCUUUGAAUGAAUUAGCCCGUAACGACUGGAUUUUUCGGCGCAAGCCGGAAAUGAAGAUAGGUUGUUUUUGAAUACUAUUCAAAAUAUACACAAUCUAUAACACGUCGCUAUCAGUAGCCUUAGGCUAUUGAUAAAGGUAUAGUCUACACUAUUAGUAAUAAUAGAUUUUUGUGGUCGGCUCGUCGUAUCCUGGGGCUGGAGAAGGUCCCAAGGGUUGGUCUGUUCGCCCAUUAAAACGGCACGCGAGCUGGGUUCAGAGCGUCGUAAGACAGCUCGGUCUCUAUCCGGUGCAACCGCUUUGAUUCUUGAGGGAGUCUCUUCCUAGUACGAGAGGACCGGAAGGGGCGGAUCCCUGGUGUACCAGUUGUGGGCUCAUCAAGCCUGCAUCGCUGGGAAGCUAUAUCCGUACGGGAUAAGCGCUGAAAGCAUCUCAAGCGCGAAGCCCAUCCUAAGAUAAGGAAUCUGAGGUUCGUGGAAUACUACCACGUAAUAGGUGUAAUGGUGUACGAUCAGUAAUGAUUUCAGCCAAUGCACACUAAAAACCCAAUCUGUUUCAAGCA
rfam:Candidatus Roizmanbacteria bacterium RIFCSPLOWO2_01_FTLL_45_11 rifcsplowo2_01_scaffold_151071, whole genome shotgun sequence.